GAUGAACGCUGGCGGCGUGCUUAACACAUGCAAGUCGAACGAGAAGUGGAGACGGAAACCUUCGGGCGGAAGACUUUAUUUCGAGUGGCGGACGGGUGAGUAACGCGUGGGUAACCUGCCUCAUACAGGGGGAUAACAGUUGGAAACGACUGUUAAUACCGCAUAAGACCACAGCACCGCAUGGUGCGGGGGUAAAAACUCCGGUGGUAUGAGAUGGACCCGCGUUCGAUUAGCCAGUUGGCGGGGUAACGGCCCACCAAAACGACGAUCGAUAGCCGAUCUGAGAGGAUGACCGGCCACAUUGGGACUGAGACACGGCCCAAACUCCUACGGGAGGCAGCAGUGGGGAAUAUUGCACAAUGGGGGAAACCCUGAUGCAGCGACGCCGCGUGAGUGAAGAAGUAUUUCGGUAUGUAAAGCUCUAUCAGCAGGGAAGAAAAUGACGGUACCUGAGUAAGAAGCCCCGGCUAACUACGUG
rnacentral:rRNA from 1 species